GAGUUUGAUCUUGGCUCAGGAUGAACGCUGGCGGCGUGCCUAAUACAUGCAAGUCGAGCGAACGGACGAGAAGCUUGCUUCUCUGAUGUUAGCGGCGGACGGGUGAGUAACACGUGGGUAACCUACCUAUAAGACUGGGAUAACUCCGGGAAACCGGGGCUAAUACCGGAUAACACAUGAAACCGCAUGGUUUCAUGAUGAAAGACGGUCUUGCUGUCACUUAUAGAUGGAUCCGCGCUGCAUUAGCUAGUUGGUAAGGUAACGGCUUACCAAGGCAACGAUGCAUAGCCGACCUGAGAGGGUGAUCGGCCACACUGGAACUGAGACACGGUCCAGACUCCUACGGGAGGCAGCAGUAGGGAAUCUUCCGCAAUGGGCGAAAGCCUGACGGAGCAACGCCGCGUGAGUGAUGAAGGUCUUCGGAUCGUAAAACUCUGUUAUUAGGGAGAACAUAUGUGUAAGUAACUGUGCACAUCUUGACGGUACCUAAUCAGAAAGCCACGGCUAACUACG
rnacentral:rRNA from 1 species